rnacentral:rRNA from 1 species
CCCUUAGAUGUUCUGGGCCGCACGCGCGCUACACUGACGAAGUCAGCGAGCAUGUCCUACGCCGACAGGUGCGGGGAAUCUUGUCAAACUUCGUCGUGAUGGGGAUUGAUUUUUGAAAUUCUUGAUCAUCAACGAGGAAUUCCUAGUAAGCGCAAGUCAGCAGCUUGCGUUGAUUACGUCCCUGCCCUUUGUACACACCGCCCGUCGCUACUACCGAUUGAAUGGUUUAGUGAGAUCUUCGGAUUGGCGCCACUGUGGCUCAGCAAUGGGCUCGGUGGAUGUCGAGAAGUUGAUCAAACUUGAUCAUUUAGAGGAAGUAAAAGUCGUANCA